GGGACUUUAGUUUAAGUAUAAAAUAUGUGAUUUGCAUUCGCAAAAUUUAAGUUCUA
rnacentral:tRNA from 1 species